GAUGAAGAACGUAGCGAAAUGCGAUAAGUAAUGUGAAUUGCAGAAUUCAGUGAAUCAUCGAAUCUUUGAACGCACAUUGCGCCCGCCAGUAUUCAGGCGGGCAUGCCUGUUCGAGCGUCAUUUCAACCAUCAAGCCCCAGGCUUGUGUUGGGGACCUGCGGCUGCCGCAGGCCCUGAAAACCAGUGGCGGGCUCGCUGUCACACCGGGCGUAGUAGAUUUUAUCUCGCUCAGGGCGUGCUGCGGGUUCCGGCCGUUAAAAAGCCUUUUUUACCCAAGGUUGACCUCGGAUCAGGUAGGAAGACCCGCUGAACUUAAGCAUAUCAAUAAGCGGAGGA
rnacentral:misc_RNA from 1 species